AAUUGAGGGAACAUUGCCUCACUGACAGCCAGGCGAGUGCAGAGUGAAAGGCUCCUGCACUGACUGUCUCCCUGCACUGCUCCCUGCACUGCUCCACUGCUGGAAUAAACAGAUGGGGCUCUGCGAGGACAUCUUCCAAAGCAGGGCAGCCCUGACCCAGCGGCACACAGGCCCUGUAACUUUCGGCACGUGUGAGUGAGCUUCGCCUCCGCUGUGCUACACGAUAAGCCGCUAAUAACAAGGCCAGGAGCCCUGCCCAGGGCCCCCGAGCCCUCUGAUGAGCUCUGGCACCGGCCUUAGCAGGCAUCUGCUCCAUCUCUACUCUGUGUGGUUUGCGUCCCUGCAAAGCCCUCUGGGUAGCCUGAGGAAGUGCUCCCCAUAGAGCAGCCACUCCUUGGGGUGAGCAGCCAGCGCCGGGCCUGCAUCUGUCCUGACACUCCUGGCAGUGUGUGCUCACCCACCCUCUGUGCAGCUGGGCUGAUAGCAUCGAUCUCAGAGGUGCUGAUCUCCCGACUGCCGCCUCCGAGGAAAAGGCAGGAGGUGGCCCAGGGCUGGCUCUGAUGCACCUCCCAUGGGCCCCACGCAGGUCCACCCGCCCCACCCCAACAGCCUCAAAACGAAAACCCAAGAAGCAAGACUGAGCAGAACAGAUGGGCUCAGCCGCCCGGCCGGCACCACUCUGGUGUGCCAUUGGCCCUGGGACGAGGGGCUCGGAGGAGGCUGCAGAGGUGUUUACUCUGUUUCUUCCCAGAGUCAGCUCUGAUGGAACCAGAACCACCACAACCGGAAGAGAGAGGGAGGGCAGGAGGAUGCUCGGAGGGCCACCCCAUGCCUUCCGCGGAGUCUGGCAGGCUCACACCCUGCAGCUGGCUCCGGGGUGGCAGAGCUGUGGAGAGCUGUUGGGAUUCAGGUAGUGUGGCGAUGCCCAUGGUGACACCCCAAGGAAACGCAGGGCUUCCUUUCUGUGACUGGAGACCCCACUGCUCAUCUCUGGAGAUGAAAAGAGAAACUAUUCUGAGUGAUUUAUUGCUAAGUAUAUCCAAGAGAAGAGAAAGAUGAAAAAAAUAAAAAUUAAGGGUGAGAGGAAAAUCCCAUGAAUGUAUUUCUAUAGCUUUAGACCAUUCUGGAAAUUGUCACACCUCAGAUUUACUGCUAAUUACCCUGCUCUCCUAGGUCUGUUGAAAAGGAUGUGGGAAGUUGAGGAAACAUAAUUUGGGCUCAUUAUUCAGUGCAAACACGCAUGGUGUGCUUCUUGCUCAAGGGAGGGGGCCGCUUCCAGGGUGUCUAUCAGAUCUUCCGUAACUAUCAGAAAAGGUUGGGGAGUAGUAGGUGCUCAAUGAACGCUAUGUGGGGAAAGCGCCGAUAACCACCCGGCUGUGUGGCUUCCAUCUCUAGAGGCUGGCAGGCCACUCAUGUCCCUUCCGACCUUGACCUUUUUGUGCUCAAGUGAGAAUUCUGGUUUUCCAAGGUUAGAGCGGCCCUAGUAACCUUGCUAAGAAAUCAGCAGAGCAGGCAAACCCCACCUACCCAAAUUCUUGGACAUUUCUUUUUUAAUUUGGUCUGAAUUUGUUUCUUUGCUAGGAAUGAUUUUAAAUGAUUCUCCUUCAAUUGUCCCUCCUGUCCGGGAAGCAGCACUGGCUGCAUGCAGGGAGGAAAACAUUGCCCACGCCCCUGGUGUGAUCUAUGCCAUUAUUAAAAGUACUAUCGUGCAUAUGAUCUCAGGAGUGGGGCGAAGUGGGGGGCAGAUAAAUCCUCUCCUAAGAAGAGAGACGUCUGACAUCAUGAAACCUAGUCCUUCAGGAUACUUAUUCUUGAGUCCUCCAGCAAGUUCCCUCACAUGAAAGAACAGAUUCCCAGGAAAUACUGUUUGAAAUCACAUGUAGAUUAAAAGAGCCACAGCUCUGCAUAUUGGGAAUUUAAUUUUCAUUAUUGCAUUCAUUAUAUGAUUUAAGUGAGAUUACAGUGUAACAUACACCGUACCUUGUGAUUAAAUAACAAU
ensembl:lncRNA